GCGGUGGAAUGCGCAGAUAUCAGGAGGAACACCGGUGGCGAAGGCGGUUCUCUGGGCAUUACCUGACGCUGAGGAGCGAAAGCAUGGGGAGCGAACAGGAUUAGAUACCCUGGUAGUCCAUGCCGUAAACGUUGGGCGCUAGGUGUGGGGACCUUCCACGGUUUCCGUGCCGCAGCUAACGCAUUAAGCGCCCCGCCUGGGGAGUACGGCCGCAAGGCUAAAACUCAAAGGAAUUGACGGGGGCCCGCACAAGCGGCGGAGCAUGCUGAUUAAUUCGAUGCAACGCGAAGAACCUUACCUGGGUUUGACAUAUGCCGGAAACACCUAGAGAUAGGUGCCCCCUUGUGGUCGGUAUACAGGUGGUGCAUGGCUGUCGUCAGCUCGUGUCGUGAGAUGUUGGGUUAAGUCCCGCAACGAGCGCAACCCUCGUCCUAUGUUGCCAGCACGUGAUGGUGGGGACUCAUAGGAGACUGCCGGGGUCAACUCGGAGGAAGGUGGGGAUGACGUCAAGUCUUCAUGCCCCUUAUGUCCAGGGCUUCAAGCAUGCUACAAUGGCCGGUACAAAGGGCUGCGAUACCGCGAGGUGGAGCGAAUCCCAAAAAGCCGGUCUCAGUUCGGAUUGGGGUCUGCAACUCGACCCCAUGAAGUCGGAGUCGCUAGUAAUCGCAGAUCAGCAACGCUGCGGUGAAUACGUUCCCGGGCCUUGUACACACCGCCCGUCACGUCAUGAAAGUCGGCAACAUCCGAAGCCGGUGAGCCGCAUCUACGUGUGUACCGAGCUCUCCGCGUUGAGAUGUCCACUCCCCC
rnacentral:rRNA from 1 species